CCUACGGGUGGCAGCAGUGAGGAAUAUUGGUCAAUGGCCGGAAGGCUGAACCAGCCAUGCCGCGUGAAGGUCAGUGCCCUAUGGGCGUUAAACUUCUUUUGUGCGGGAGCAAUAAUGGUCACGUGUGGCCAGACGAGAGUACCGUACGAAUAAGCAUCGGCUAACUCCGCGCCAGCAGCCGCGGUAAUACGGGGGAUGCAAGCGUUAUCCGGAUUUAUUGGGUUUAAAGGGUGCGUAGGCUGGGAGGUAAGGCAGCGGGGAAAUGCCCCCGCUCAACGGGGUGAAGUGCCAUUGAUACUGCCUUGCUGGAAUGCGGGUGCCGUGGGAGGAAUGUGUGGUGUAGCGGUGAAAUGCAUAGAUAUCACACAGAACACCGAUUGCGAAGGCAUCUCACGAAUCCGCGAUUGACGCUGAUGCACGAAAGCGUGGGUAUCAAACAGGAUUAGAUACCCUGGUAGUC
rnacentral:rRNA from 1 species